CUCCCAAGGCCGCCGCUCCGGGCGAGGAGAGGAGAGGCUCCCCCCGGGCACAAAGCGGCAAGCACCACUCUGCACGCCCAGGAUGCCCUGGAUCCUUCCGCUGGGACCCGAGGACAGCAACGGCAGGCAGGGAGCGAACCUGACAGUCACUUGCUUGUUCCUUUGGGGCAGAGCAAACAGGUCGUGCCGAGCGCGAUGGCGUACCACUUCCCAUAGACCUGGUGAGAACAACCCGAAAGCGGCCAUCUUAAGGCCACGUCCGGCGCCCACGGCAGACUUUGGCAGAGUUUCAACCUCCGCUCCUACAAGGCUGGCGUUCCUCCUUUGGUGCCAGUCCUCCGAUAUGUGGUAUUUCUAGCUAGGAUCCCAGUCCUCGCUACGACUCUUGGCGGAGUGCAGGCACAUCCGUAAGAGUCGGAGAAAGGGCUUUAAGGGCCCCACUCCUCGUUCUAUCGUCUCAACACAAAGGGA